rnacentral:lncRNA from 1 species
CCUGGCACCCCGACUGGGUACCUCCGUUGAAAGAUGCUCCUAGCGCUUCCAGAGGACUCCAAGCACUCCACCAGACACCAUAAGCACCGCAGGCUGCAGUUAUCUCCCUUCAGAACGAAGCAGGAACAAGCUCUUACAAGAGCUCAGUGAUUAUAGCAAGGGAAUAUGCCUAGCAUAGCAAUCCCUUGUAGCAGAUUCCCCCAAUAAGAGACAGGACUCAAGUUGAGGGUAAAAAUAGAACUCCCUG